UACAGAGGCCCCGAGCGUUACUGAGAAUCACUGGGUUUAAAGGGUGCGUAGGUGGCGCGUUAAGUCCGUUGUGAAAUCCCUGGGCUCAACCCAGGAAUUGCUUCGGAUACUGGCGUGCUUGAGGCCGGUAGGGGUCACUGGAACUGACGGUGGAGCGGUGAAAUGCGUAGAUAUCGUCAGGAACGCCGAUGGUGAAGACAGGUGACUGGGCCGGAACUGACACUGAGGCACGAAAGCGUGGGGAGCGAACAGG
rnacentral:rRNA from 1 species